rnacentral:rRNA from 1 species
GACGAACGCUGGCGGCGUGCUUAACACAUGCAAGUCGAACGGAAAGGCCCUGCUUUUGUGGGGUGCUCGAGUGGCGAACGGGUGAGUAACACGUGAGUAACCUGCCCUUGACUUUGGGAUAACUUCAGGAAACUGGGGCUAAUACCGGAUAGGAGCUCCUGCUGCAUGGUGGGGGUUGGAAAGUUUCGGCGGUUGGGGAUGGACUCGCGGCUUAUCAGCUUGUUGGUGGGGUAGUGGCGUACCAAGGCUUUGACGGGUAGCCGGCCUGAGAGGGUGACCGGCCACAAUGGGACUAAGAGAGGGCCCAGACGCGUACGGGCGGCAGCAGUGGGAAGUAUUGCGCAGUGGGCGGAAGCCUGAUGCAGCAACGCCGCGUGCGGGAUGACGGCCUUCGGGUUGUGAACCGCUUUCGACUGUGACGAAGCGUGCGUGACGGUAAUGGGUAAAGAAGCACCGGCUAACUACGUG